rnacentral:rRNA from 1 species
UACGUAGGGUGCAAGCGUUGUCCGGAAUUAUUGGGCGUAAAGAGCUUGUAGGCGGUUUGUUGCGUCUGCUGUGAAAUUUCGGGGCUCAUCCCCGAACUUGCAGUGGGUACGGGCAGACUAGAGUGUGGUAGGGGAGACUGGAAUUCCUGGUGUAGCGGUGAAAUGCGCAGAUAUCAGGAGGAACACCGAUGGCGAAGGCAGGUCUCUGGGCCAUAACUGACGCUGAGAAGCGAAAGCAUGGGGAGCGAACAGG